GUUUAAGUAGCUUAAUAAGAGCAUAACGUUGAAGGUGUUAAGGUGAUAUUUUUAUUUUUAAAUA
rnacentral:tRNA from 1 species